rnacentral:rRNA from 1 species
UACGUAGGGGGGCAAGCGUUGUCCGGAUUUAUCGUGGCGUAAAGAGCGUGUAGGCGGCCUAACAGGUCCGUUGUGAAAACUGGAGGCUCAACCUCCAGACUCGACGGAAACCGUGAGCUAGAGUCCGGAAGAGGAGAGUGGAAUUCCGUGGUGUAGCGGUGAAAUGACGCAGAUAUCGAAGGAAGAACACCAUGGCGAAGGCAGCUCUCUGGGACGGUACUGACGCUGAGACGCGAAAAGCGUGGGGAGCGAACAGG